rnacentral:rRNA from 1 species
CGCUGGCGGCAGGCCUAAUACAUGCAAGUCGAACGGCAGCACAGCAGAGCUUGCUCUGUGGGUGGCGAGUGGCGGACGGGUGAGGAAGGGUACAUGGGAAUCUGCCCAGUCGUGGGGGAUAACGUAUGGAAACGUACGCUAAUACCGCAUGCGCCCUACGGGGGAAAGCCGGGGACCGCAAGGCCUGGCGCGAUUGGAUGAGCCCAUGUUCGAUUAGCUAGUUGGCGGGGUAAAGGCCCACCAAGGCGACGAUCGAUAGCUGGUCUGAGAGGAUGAUCAGCCACACUGGAACUGAGACACGGUCCAGACUCCUACGGGGAGGCAGCAGUAGGGAAUAUUGGACAAUGGGGGCAACCCUGAUCCAGCCAUGCCGCGUGAGUGAAG